rnacentral:rRNA from 1 species
UACAGAGGGUGCGAGCGUUGUCCGGAAUCACUGGGCGUAAAGGGCGCGUAGGCGGCCCGGUAAGGUUGCGGUGAAAGUCCGGGGCUCAACCUCGGAUCGGCCGUGGCGACUCGUGGGCUGGAGCACUGUAGAGGCGGGUGGAAUUCCGGGUGUAGCGGUGGAAUGCGUAGAGAUCCGGAAGAACACCAGUGGCGAAGGCGGCCCGCUGGGCAGUGGCUGACGCUGAGGCGCGACAGCGUGGGGAGCAAACGAGGAU